rnacentral:rRNA from 1 species
CCUACGGGAGACAGCAGUGAGGAAUAUUGGUCAAUGGGCGCGAGCCUGAACCAGCCAAGUAGCGUGAAGGAUGACUGCCCUACGGGUUGUAAACUUCUUUUAUAAAGGAAUAAAGUGAGGCACGUGUGCCUUUUUGUAUGUACUUUAUGAAUAAGGAUCGGCUAACUCCGUGCCAGCAGCCGCGGUAAUACGGAGGAUCCGAGCGUUAUCCGGAUUUAUUGGGUUUAAAGGGAGCGUAGAUGGGUUGUUAAGUCAGUGGUGAAAGUUUGCGGCUCAACCGUAAUAUUGCAAUUGAUACUGGCAGCCUUGAGUACAGUUGAGGCAGGCGGAAUUCGUGGUGGAGCGGUGAAAUGCUUAGAUAUCACGAAGAACUCCGAUUGCGAAGGCAGCUUACUAAACUGCCACUGACAUUGAUGCUCGAAAGUGUGGGUAUCAAACAGGAUUAGAUACCCUAGUAGUC